UGUAAGGUGCAUGCCUGUUUCACCUGGU
rnacentral:sRNA from 1 species